GUUUUUUCAGAUUGAUAUCCACAUUAAUGGAGAACAUGUCGAAACCUUUCAGGAAGAUCUCACCUUUACAUUAGACACCUCGGCUUCACCAAAUUUACCCAAGAUAGAUGAUGACCUAAAAGACCCACCAAGUGGUUCACUGACACAUCGCUUAUAAGAUCUGUCCUAUACAAGAAGUGGAGACAGAGGCAACUCUGCAAAUAUUGGCAUCAUAGCAAGGCACCCGCUCUACUGCCUGUACUUAAAAUAAUUUCUAACUGCUCAAGCCGUAGAAGAUUACUUCCAACAUAUUCCACAUAAAGAACAACCUGAAGGGAAUUCAGUAA